AGAACGAACGCUGGCGGCAGGCCUAACACAUGCAAGUCGAACGCCCCGCAAGGGGAGUGGCAGACGGGUGAGUAACACGUGGGAACGUGCCCAAAGGUACGGAACAACUCCGGGAAACUGGAGCUAAUACCGUAUGUGCCCGAAAGGGGAAAGAUUCAUCGCCUUUGGAUCGGCCCGCGUCUGAUUAGCUAGUUGGCGGGGUAAUGGCCCACCAAGGCGACGAUCAGUAGCUGGUCUGAGAGGAUGACCAGCCACACUGGGACUGAGACACGGCCCAGACUCCUACGGGAGGCAGCAGUGGGGAAUAUUGGACAAUGGGCGCAAGCCUGAUCCAGCCAUGCCGCGUGAGUGAUGAAGGCCUUAGGGUUGUAAAGCUCUUUCGCCAGGGACGAUAAUGACGGUACCUGGAUAAGAAGCCCCGGCUAACUUCGUGCCAGCAGCCGC
rnacentral:rRNA from 1 species